rnacentral:antisense_RNA from 1 species
AGGGUAGAAUCCAGCCCCACAAGCGGCGGCGAUGCUAAUCAGGCCACUAAGUUGGAAAAGCAUCCCCGAAGACCGGGAGGAACGCCGCGGGGACCUGUGGCUUAGCGCGCUCCGCCCGGGCUUGUCUGCCCGCGGGGGCGCAGCGGCUGAGGCGGCUCCGGGCCGGAGUUCCAGUCAAGCGCCACCCAACUCCCAGUCGGGGGCCGAGGCCAGCGCCGGGAUUCCAGCUUCUCCCAAAAAGAUCCUGCCUCAGGGAAAUGCAGGGAGCCGGCGGAAAAGCCCGCGGCGCCCCCGGCGGAUCGCAGACCCUAAGGGGGCGGGAGGUGGCGCCCCAGUCCCAACCUCUUGAGCCAACCCAGUGGGUGGGAAGUGCCCGUACCCUAGGCCUUCCGGAAAGUGUUCUCUCCUUGUAUUAUUCUAAUUACGGUAUUUUUAAUUUCCUUAAAAAAAUAAGAAACAGAAAAGCACAGAA